AAGAGCAGAGAGUGGAUAGAGAGUAGGUGACAGUGUGAUUUGAAAAGAGAUCAUCUAAGGAGCAUCUAGUGCCUCCUAUCGCCUCCCUGUGGCCCACGUCUGAUUUCAGCCUCAGCUGCAGUGCACUUGUGCACAGGGUCACACUCACCCCAUGCUGAUCCUGCUGCCUCAAGUAGGAACUUGCUGCUUUUUCCCUGGGGUCUUGCUGCUUUUUCCCUGGGGUUUUCUGCGGUAUCCUAUGCACCCACUUGGCCUGAACACAAAGAUAGUCCCUGAGAGACCACAUUUUUUAUUCCCACAAAAGGGAAGAGACACAGAAGGCUCCUCACUGGACCUGGAAUGGACAUCAGACUCCACUUCUGUGUGGUCAUUUGUCUCCUAUGGGCAGGACCUGUGGAUGCUAGAAUCACCCAGAGCCCAAGGCACAAGGUCACAGUGAAGGGAAAGAAUAUGAUUCUAAGAUGCCACCAGAAUGACAACCAUAACUACAUGUACUGGUAUCGGCAAGACCUGGGACAUGGGCUAAGGCUGAUCCAUUACUCAUAUGGAGUUAACAGCACCACCAAAGGAGAUAUCCCAGAUGGGUACAGAGUCUCCAGAUCAAACACAGAAGAUUUCCCCCUCACUCUGGAGUCAGCCACUCCCUCCCAGACAUCUGUGUACUUCUGUGCUAGCAGUGACACCACAGCGCUGCACGACUGCCUCUUCCCUGCACACAAAGUAUCAUUGGGAAGUCCACGGUUUAUCUGUGCUCACGAGGCCUGGCCCCAUCCAGACAAGUCUGGUCCACAUGGGAGUCACAGAGCCAUAGCUAAACUGGGUGUUUGA